rnacentral:ncRNA from 2 species
UGCCAUAGCUAGGGGUGUCUAGAAAGCUAGGCUGAGAAAAACCCUUAGAACCUGAGACUGGGUAAUACCAGCGGAGGGAAGCUCACCAUUCGAGGA